CGAGGCAGGUGAAGCGCAGGGCGGGGAGUGGGAUUACACUGUCGGAGGCAUCCGACAAAAUCCGGUGGAGAUUCGGCCAACUUCUCCAUCCUGCAGUCGGGCAGGGGGCUGACGGACCAGUGCAGCCGAGGAAACAGCAGGCCCCUGACCGGCUACUGUGACAACUUAAGGAGAUGAGGUGUUAGUGGCUGAUCAUAACAGCAUGUGUUGUCCCCAUCGGGCGACAUUUACAUUUGAUUGUGGCCUUGAAUGCCGGCAGUAGUAAUCCUAGAGAGGCCCUUUGCACUUGCUGGUACUACUUCCUGGUAUGCUCUUCAUCCCGAUCAUUGCUUGUCAUGUGCCCUCAUUUUAUUCAGGGUACACGUGUGUGUGAAACGCUGAUGAAUACUUUGCUCUUUGGAACCAACCGGGUGUACCUUCAAUGUCCAGUCUUUUAAAGAGGGGAGUUUGGAUUUUAGAGCACUGACUGUUAAUUUACGUGACAGUGACAUCUAGUGGAUCACUAAUGACAGUCGGAGCUAAAAGCUCUAAAGAUCAAAGGAGGGCCAAACAAACAUCAGCCACGAACAGCAAAACUCCACCCUGAUUCCUGGAUAGAUGCUCUAGUGAGGUCUGGAGAAUCCAGUGAGAUUUCUGUUGAUGAUGUGGCCAUUGAUGGGUUAAGGAUAUCUGAAGAUUUAGGUUUCACUAUGCAUGUUGGGGAUGGAGCAUAGAGGACAAGCCUAAAUAUGAAAAAAUGAGAGAAUUUGUUGUGUGGGAUAGCUUAAGCUGCUACAAGUUCAUUUUUCAAGAGGUUGGUUUAUCACUCAAAAUCGAGGGGCGCCUGGGUGGCUCAGUCGGUUAAACGCCCGACCUCAGCACAGGUCAUGAUCUCAUAGUCCGUGGGUUCAAGCUGUGCUGACAGCUCAGAGCCUGGAGCCUGCUUCAGAUUCUGUGUCUCCCUCUCUCCCUCUGUACCUCCCUCUGCUCACGCUCUGUCUCUCCCUCAAAAAUACACAUUUAAAAAAAAAUUUUUUUAAGGUGAUAGGAACAUGAAAUUAGUGCAUGCUGUCACCAAGUGGUGGUACUAAUUCGGAAGAAAAGUAAAAUUUUGGUCAUUAGGUGGGCUCAGCUGGAAGAAAUUAGCAAAUUUUGCUCUUGAUCUGAAAUCAAGAGUCAGAUGCUUAACCCAGGUGCCCCUAACAGCAAGCUUUAAAAUAUAAGAUUAAGGAAUAGUUUAAUAAUUAUUAUAAGUUUGGACAAUUUAUAUCACAAUGAAGAAUGUGCAAGUCAUGUUCUCAUGUUAUGUUCUCACUUCCACAUGAGCAAAGCAUGUUAUCAGACUUUUUGUUCCUGUUAAUCAAAAAUUUUAGGGGCGCCUGGGUGGCGCAGUCGGUUAAGCGUCCGACUUCAGCCCGGUCACGACCUCGCGGUCCGGCAGUUCGAGCCCCGCGUCGGGCUCUGGGCUGAUGGCUCGGAGCCUGGAGC